CAGCCUGCCCAGUGACAAAGUUCAACGGCCGCGGUACCCUAACCGUGCGAAGGUAGCAUAAUCACUUGUUCUUUAAAUGAGGACUUGUAUCAACGGCACUACGAGGGCUAUACUGUCUCCUUUUUCUAAUCAGUGAAACUGAUCUCCCCGUGAAGAAGCGGGGAUCAAAAUAUAAGACGAGAAGACCCCAUGGAGCUUUAAACUUACCAUACACCUCUGUGGUACCACACCAUUUGACACAAGAGACCUGCGUGCUAGUUUUAGGUUGGGGGGACCACGGAGUAUAAUUAAACCUCCACAACAAAUGGGCUAAUACCCUUAUCCACGAGACACAACUCUAAGAAUUACUAAACUAAUGCUUAUGACCCGAUAUUCGAUCAAUGAACCAAGUUACCCUGGGGAUAACAGCGCAAUCUACUUCAAGAGCCCCUAUCGACAAGUAGGUUUACGACCUCGAUGUUGGAUCAGGGUAUCCCGGUGGUGCAGCCGCUACCGAUGGUUCGUUUGUUCAACGAUUAAAACCCUACGUGAUCUGA
rnacentral:rRNA from 1 species